GUAGCGCUGUUAUUUGGUCAAUUUGGUCACCUGUUAGCUGCGCUACUGUUUUAGCAGCGCGUUUAGUAGCGACCGGUAAAGUGUCAAGUAAUGAUACUGCGCUGACAAACGGUUUAUACUCACCACCGAAAUGAAGCUUAUGAUAAAUAAAAUACUGCUGCUUGCUGGUCACUGAUUGAAGAUCGUUCAGUGGCUACCAUUGGCCAAUCUCACCAACGGGAUAUAAUAAGAACUGAUGCAGGUUUAUAUCUAUAUGUAUUGUCUAUUCGGAACAAAGUUAGUACGCUUUUUAAACCGAUGUUAGAUUUUUCUCCAGAUACAGGCAACCCACUUAACUUUGGAAGUAGUGCGCUGAAUUCGUCUAAAGAUAUGCUAAA